UACGUAGGGGGCAAGCGUUGUCCGGAAUUAUUGGGCGUAAAGCGCACGCAGGCGGUUGUGUAAGUGGAAGGUGACAUCUCCGGGCUUAACCGGGAAAGCGUCUUCCAGACUGCAUAACUUGAGAGCGAGAGAGGGACACAGAAUUCCGGGUGGAGUGGUGAAAUGCGUAGAGAUCCGGAGGAAUACCAAAGGCGAAGGCAGUGUCCUGGCUCGUUUCUGACGCUGAGGUGCGAAAGCCAGGGGAGCGAACGGG
rnacentral:rRNA from 1 species